rfam:Orchesella cincta Ocin01_Sc0208, whole genome shotgun sequence.
AUACAAAAACGGGACUGUAGGCCGGUGGGUGUCUGGGGUAAGAUAGUCGGUUCAUUGUGUGCCAUUGCCGGUGUCUUGACAAUCGCUUUACCUGUGCCUGUCAUCGUAUCCAAU